GGUCUGGCUGCAGACAUCCACUGAGGCUCACGUCCACUGAGACGCAGGAAAUCCACUGAGCGCCCGGAAAUGACGUCACGCAUAAAGUUUGGUGGAUACUCACGAGCAUUAGCAGCGCGUCCAUUGUUUAGCAAGACAUUGGCGAAGGAAAGUAGAACGAUGCACAGGUCAAUUUGGCGAAGGAAUGCCGUGCCUCAGUUAGCAAGAUGUGCUAACUGUUGCAAUAGUUUCCAUUGCCCUUUGUGCCCAGUAACGAUGUUUAAACCGACAACGUUACUGCGAGCCCGGGUGCAUUUAGAUUCACACGCAAAGAAUGGAAUUUCAUUCCAAGAAUUCAUAAUAAAUAGGUGCAACCUUGGCUGCAGGCAUGCUGGCCAUUACCACUGUCCCUUUUGCUCAAAGACAAUUAUUCGGAAAGAUGCAACACUGGAGCAUUUGAAAAUUUGCCAAACAACCACAUCAGAUGCAUCUUUACCCUCACCUAUCAAGAUCA